rnacentral:rRNA from 1 species
UACAGGGGGGGCAAGCGUUGUUCGGAAUUACUGGGCGUAAAGGGCUCGUAGGCGGCCAAUUAAGUCCGACGUGAAAUCCCCAGGCUUAACCUGGGAACUGCGUCGGAUACUGAUUGGCUUGAAUCCGGGAGAGGGAUGCGGAAUUCCAGGUGUAGCGGUGAAAUGCGUAGAUAUCUGGAGGAACACCGGUGGCGAAGGCGGCUCUCUGGGACGGUACUGACGCUGAGACGCGAAAGCGUGGGGAGCGAACGGG